rnacentral:rRNA from 1 species
AGUGAACGCUGGCGGUAGGCCUAACACAUGCAAGUCGAACGGCAGCACAGUAAGAGCUUGCUCUUACGGGUGGCGAGUGGCGGACGGGUGAGGAAUACAUCGGAAUCUACUUUUUCGUGGGGGAUAACGUAGGGACACUUACGCUAAUACCGCAUACGACCUACGGGUGAAAGCAGGGGAUCUUCGGACCUUGCGCGAUUGAAUGAGCCGAUGUCGGAUUAGCUAGUUGGCGGGGUAAAGGCCCACCAAGGCGACGAUCCGUAGCUGGCCUGAGAGGAUGAUCAGCCACACUGGAACUGAGACACGGUCCAGACUCCUACGGGAGGCAGCAGUGGGGAAUAUUGGACAAUGGGCGCAAGCCUGAUCCAGCCAUACCGCGUGGGUGAAGAAGGCCUUCGGGUUGUAAAGCCCUUUUGUUGGGAAAGAAAAGCAGCAGGUUAAUACCCCGCUGUUCUGACGGUACCCAAAGAAUAAGCACCGGCUAACUUCGUG